GUGCUCACUUUGGCAGCACACAUACUAAAAUUGGAAUGAUACAGAGAUUAGCAUGACCCCUGUGCAAGAAUGACAUGCAAACUUCGUAAAGCAUUCCAUAUUUUU